rnacentral:rRNA from 1 species
UACGGAGGGUGCGAGCGUUGUCCGGAAUCACUGGGCGUAAAGGGCGCGUAGGUGGCCCGUGGAAGUCUGCGGUGAAAGUCCGGCGCUCAACGCCGGAUCGGCCGUGGAUACUCUCGGGCUUGAGCUUACUAGAGGCAGAUGGAAUUCCGGGUGUAGCGGUGGAAUGCGUAGAGAUCCGGAAGAACACCGGUGGCGAAGGCGGUCUGCUGGGGUAAUGCUGGACACUGAUGCGCGAC